AAGUCGUAACAAGGUUUCCGUAGGUGAACCUGCGGAAGGAUCAUUACAGUAUAUUGAAUUCUUAUUCAUAUCAACCCACACUGUGUACCUUUUAUUUGUUGCUUCCAUGGGACAUGGCUCUGCCACGUCGGCCUUCGGGCUGGUGAGUUCCCAUGGAAGGAAACCCAAUACUCUUUUUAUUUUUGACAUCUGCCUGAAUAGUUUUUAUAAACGUUAAAACUUUCAACAACGGAUCUCUUGGUUCUCGCAUCGAUGAAGAACGCAGCGAAAUGCGAUAAGUAGUGUGAAUUGCAGAAUUCAGUGAAUCAUCGAAUCUUUGAACGCACAUUGCGCCUCCUGGUAUUCCGGGAGGCAUGCCUGUUCGAGCGUCAUCAAAAACCUCAACCAUAAUUUAUUAUGAGUUGGUAUUGCAUUGGACUCCUUGUGGGUCCUCCGCGAAAUUCAAUGGCGAAGAGCCACGCAGCCAAAGCGUAGUAUAACUAUUUCGUUAUGGAAGCGUUGGUGCCUCUGCCGUAACCCCCCAAUUUCUUAGUUUUUGACCUCGGAUCAGGUAGGGAUACCCGCUGAACUUAA
rnacentral:rRNA from 1 species